GUAAGAGAAUAGGUUAACAUGCUUUAAUGUUCAAAAAGCGCAUUAUUUGUCAAAAACUGUACAUACGACACACAACUUCCGUUCUGACUCAAUGCAGUGUAUGGUUACUUCCACCAGCAUAGUGGAACUAUAGAGUUUACUGCCAGAAAUAUGUCUAGAUGAUGUACAGUGACUUGCAAUUGAAGGUUAGCGGUCAUGGCCGCCAUUUUAGUUUCACUACACACAGCAGUGAUGCAGCAGCAGAUUCAUAUUCUCUUAUUUCAUGCCAAAGAGGCCAUCGUCUAGAAACCUACUCCCCUUUCUCCCAGCUGAUACUAGUGAAACGACUCAACCCCAGGAAGGUUGGAGAAGCCGCCUUUGAACCUCCCACAACUGUGAUAGCCCUCGCUCGCACAGCCGUACUCAUUGACUCUCAACCCCGGUGGAUUCACACCAGUAGACUGAAACAGUGCCUGACCAGAACCAGCUCAUCUGAGAAUGGAUGAAAAUUCACAAUCAAGCAGCCCUUAGGGGGCCUCCUCUUGUCUCACCUAAGCACAUACACAUAUAGAUUUUCUUGUAUUAGCCUUGAGAACACACACAAGUAACAAGCAACAACUCAUGCCCUGUCUGAUGGGAGCAUGUGAGGGGUGGGAGCUGUUGAAGCUCAUGGAUCCCUCAUGGGCGUUCCUUGCUGUUUAUGGGAAGAGUGUAUGUAGGUCCAGUUGGGACCUAAGAAGGCAUUGAUAAGUUUACUGUGAACACUCUUCCCUCUCAAUCCCUUGUUAACAUUUUGUAAAGAUUAAAGAAUUAAAUGUAAAGAAUAAUAUUGGCUGUGUUUGCUAGCAAGCAAGCUAAAUCUACACUAGCAGCUGAGAGUAAAGAAUGAAAUUUGCCAUGUUCGCUAGCAAGUGAGCAAAUUGCUACAUGUAAAGAAUGAAAUUAGCCAUGUUUGGAAGCAAGUGAGAUAACGCUAAAUGUUUUGUGUGAACAAUAAAAUUAGCCAUGUUCACUAGCAAGCUUGCGAACACUAUGCUAGCUGCUGCAUGUAAACAAUGAAAUUAGCAAUGUUUGUGAGCUAAAGCUAUGCUAACCACUGCAUGUAAAGAAUAAAAUUAGCUAUGUUCUAUCUAUCUAUCUAUCUAUCUAUCUAAUCAACUCUACAAUGAUUGGC
ensembl:lncRNA